GCAGAUGGUCACAUUCCUUGGGCAUGUGAGGCUUUUCCAAAGCUGCAUGGUGAGGAGUUCGCCCGAGCACCGGCCUUGCUGUGGUGCUGGAGAUUAUUCAUGAUCAAACUGUGGAACCAUGGCCUUUAUUGAUGCGCGUGGAAGCAACAAUUGUAACCUAAUACUAGAGCAAUUCCAAAGCCAAGACAAUAAUUCUACUAGAAGCUAAAUACCCGUGUGACAAUAUUUCACAAUCUAGCAAUGGAUUUGGUAGUUUGUGGCUGGAUCUACAUCUCCAUAUUUUCACCGUCUGUUUUCUUAAUGUUAUCGUGGCUAGAUGACUGUUUUGUCUUUAAAGGGUAAGAUUCGCUAAUUUAAUGUUUUAUAGAGGUCAUACAGUGGCAUCUGCCGUUCUAAAUGAUUCACAUUGUUCAAGGGCUCUAUUAUAUCUUCAGUCUGAUUCUUUUUCA